rnacentral:tRNA from 1 species
AAUAAAAUAAGUCAGCGGUCUGUUAUAAAACUAUAUUUUUUAUAAAAAUAUAGCUAUAAAAAGUUCGAUUCUUUUACUUAUUU